rnacentral:tRNA from 1 species
GUUAUUUUGGCAGAUUAGUGUGUUAGAUUUAGAAUCUAAAUAUAUAGUUUAUUCUAUAGAUAAUA